UAUUUCAUUUUCUUUUGUACUUUUUUUUUAAUUGUUGAAGGGAAACAAAAAGCAGAGACAAGACCGUUUUUGCAAUCAACGUUACAGUUUUUUUUUAAUCUGGGGAUGGAUGGCUGAGUUGGACACGUUCUGGAUCCACACGACCUUAGAUGAAGCCAGCUGCAACCCGUAGAGUGGAGUCGUGGAGAGAGCCCCUCGCCCCUCAGCUAAACCAGAGUAAAUGAAGCCAGCACCAACCUGUGGAGUGGAGUCCAGGAGAGAGCAUGCCGCCCCUCAGCUAAACCAGAUUAGAUGAAGCCAGCUGCAACCCGUAGAGUGGAGUUGUGGAGAGAGCCCCUCGCCCCUCAGCUAAACCAGAGUAAAUGAAGCCAGCACCAACCUGUGGAGUGGAGUCCAGGAGAGAGCAUGCCGCCCCUCAGCUAAACCAGAUCAGAUAAAGCCAACUGGAACCAUAUUUUUACAUAUUUUAUAUUAAAUAUAUUGAAUAAAACUACAUAUGAUAAAGAAAGUGUUAUCUUAUCUUUUUUAUAUGCUAAACUUGAUUAAAUUGGUGAUUACAUGUUGAAGCUGUAGAAGAAUGAAAAAUGUAAGCUAAACAAAAUUGUUUUUAACUACAUAAUU